UCACAUGUUCUUAACAAUGAGAUAUGCUCAAUUAUUCAUUUCAUAAACACUUAAUGCCAUUAACCCUAUAAUGUAUGAAUAUUAAUUUAUUCAUAUACAGAUAUGCUCAUGAAGGUAAUAUAGACAUAAAGAGUGAUUCAAUGAUUUCGGAUAGCACCCCCCACCUGUAGAGAUGCCACAAAUUGGAAUCAACGUCUCGAACUGUAUCAACAACGAGCUCUCGCGACUCAGUGUAAAUAAAGCUAGAAUGGCUUAUACCGUAAUUAGUGCGCCACCGACCUGUCGUAAUGUCAAUUUUGACUUCUGAACAUGUUUAACUUUCAUUUAUAAAGAAAUAAAAGAGAUUAAACUUAAGUCACAUUCACAUAUUUUACAAAUUUGCAUUUCUAUUCCAAUUUGCUUGUGUAUAAAUAUAUAUAUGUAUAGUGUCAAUAUCUUUAUACAUAUAGUCUGUUAUUAAACUCCCUAUGGCAGUUUAAGAUUCUUAAGUCAAAACAAUUCAUAAUUACUCCCUUAAGGGCAGUAAACAUCAACUCUAAUACUUAACAUUGUAAAUUUUGCCAUAGGUUCCACUCUAACUUAAUCCACAAUUUAUAUAUCAACUAUAUUGCAUAUAACUUACCAUAGGUUUAAUACCUGAUCAUUCCUACUCAAUAAGCUAAAUCAUGCACAACCUUUUCUUUACACCGUUCUUAAUACUAAUACACAAUAACAUGUUCUGUAGGUUUAUUAUGCUAUUUAAAAUUUCAGCACUUUAAUUGAAAAAUAUUUUAAUUCUUACCUCGAUUUCGAGCUCCUCCAACUUAAUCAGCUAGCAAGCUGCUAACCCUCAAACUCCCUUUUUAAUUUGGACCACCCAAAGAAGCUCCCUCAGCUAAUUUGGGCGCCCAAAACUCCUCCAAGGCAGUAGUUACAUAGCCCCUAACAUCAUUUAAAAGGGAUAAUGUCACGCCCCGGGACCACUACCAAUUUGGUCCGGCCCGGGCGCGUCAAACAGACGCCGAACGGACAGGACCUCCCCUGUCCGCCCAAGGCUAACCAACAGAUCAUGUAUAAGAAUUUACCCAGGGAUCAAUUCAUACAUACACGAUCAAGAUGCACCAUCAGUGCUAACAAGACGAGAGCAAGAUACAAGUAUGAAAAUAUACAAGUACAUAAAGAGAGAAGAUGCUAUCUAUUGCAUUCAUUUGACUUAAUACAUUUAAUUACAUCUUUUACAUUCUUCCAAAAUAUAAAUACAAGCACUCAACCUCACCCUAUACAACGUCUACUCUCAAAUACAAAAAGGGUGACAGCUAAUGCAAAAAGGGAGGUAGCUAAUGCGACUAGAGCGUCGGGCCCUUACCACGAUCAUCACGCUCACCGGGGGCGCCCGAACUCGAGCCUGUAAAAAGUGGGGUGAGAACUAUCUUCCAUAGUUCCCAGUGGGUUCGGCCGCCGACUCCGCCGAUCUCCCCACUAGGUCCAAGCGGGCAAAAGUAGAUAAUCGAUAGAUAGAUAGAUAAGGAAAGCGGUAAAUGACAGAAGUAAAGCUACGCUACUAUGCCCAAUCAUAAUUAUAUGAAUGCAUGUACAAUGAAAUAGAUAAACAACUAACCCAUUAUCAUGUCCAAAGGUAAAGCUAUUUACUCGUUCAUCAAUCUCAUUUACUUGUUUCUUAAUCUCGUGGCUUCCCUGAAGGAGCCUACUGCUCACUAGCCAUCUCGAAGGUAGGGAGGGUCAACUCGCACUACGAACCGAGACCGUCUUCCCGGCCCCAAAAUAGGCAAUCCCUUGGGACCCAAAAUAGGCAAUCCCACGUGACCAACUCCGGAGCGCACUACUUGUGUGGGGCUUCCAUCACAAGAUUUAAAAACAGACCGUGAGCAUGAUCCAAUCCUCGUCUCGAGAAUACCCUAUCCUCUAGGGUUACAAUCAUCAUAUAGUCCAUAGGCGUCAUAUACACCAAGUUUAACAUGCAUCACUUGUUUUCUUAUACACUAUCAACUAGAUUGCCACUCGUCCAUGGUUUACUAUCGACUAGAUGCCACUCGUUCUUUGUUUAUCAUUAGACCAACCAUUGAGCUCAUCUCUUUUUCUGCACUAUAGGAUUCACAAGUCUCGACCCAAUCCUUAUCGAUCCACUAUAUCAAGUAUCCAAUACAUGCUACGAUAUCAUCAAGGAAACUAUAAGGAAAGGCAAUGCACAAUCAUCCUAUAAUGCAAUAAUAUAAGAUGCAAGAAUCGACAUGUACUAAGACAUAGAAGGGAACCCGAUUGCUUCGGGAUGGACACCACCCACCUCUUGGCGAUGCCGUGACGGUAGAAAACUCGGCGCUGCGGUUCUUGCACGUCGUCCUAACUCCUCGGGGCGAAGCGAGCCCUCAAGUACCCGAUUCGGCGAUUUCUCCGCACCCGCUCGUCGGAUCGAGAAACCGACUUCGCCGACGUGUUCCGGGACCUAGCAAUUAGGUUUGCGACCUAUUAGAUUAGAUCAAAACCCUAGAUUUGCCAAAAUCCCAAUUCUGAGCCCUAGGACUCAAUAAUGGAGAAAUCCGCGGUGCGAGUUUCGAUUUCGAGCUCGAACCUUCUCCCUAGUUCCAUUAGGUUCUAUUCGAACCAUCUCUAAACCAUAAAACCCCCAAACCCUAGAAAACACCAUUAAAGGGGUUAGAGCUUACAUCUCUUCAAGACUCCAAGCUUGAGGGAGAGAGAAGAAGACAAUAUUCUUCUUCUUCUUAGUCUUCUCCUUCCCCUUUCUCUUCUUUUCCUUCAUCUUCUUCCACUCCUUCUUCUCCUUCUUUUCUCUCCUAGAGAGAGAGAGGGAAAGAGUGUGAAAGGGAGAGAGAGAGCAACUGAGAAGGAGAAAGGGGUCCCUAAGCCCUCAUAUAGGCCAUUUUGCAGAUAGCCCCCUCAACUUUUCCUUUCCUGAAACAGCCCUCCCUGGGCCAUUUUCGCAGUGAGGGACCGGUCCUAACUCGGGGAGACCGGUCCCCGAAGGCUGCCAUUUCGAGCAGAGGGGUUUUCGCGUUCGGGAACUGGUCCUUGCCUGAGAGACCGGUCCCCGGGAGACCGGUCCUUGUCCGAGAGACCGGUUCCCGAAAGUUGGAUUCUCGGGACUUAGCCAAAUUUCGGCUAUUCUCGCUGGGCUGACGUUCGGGAACCGGUCCUUGCCUGCCAGGGACCGGUCUCAUCAGAGACCUCCGCAGCCCAACCCGAUGCGACCGGUCCUUCCCUGCCAGGGACCGGUCCCCGAGAGCAAUUCUGCUCCAGUGCAGAUUUCGCACUGGUGCUCCCGCGGACCCUUCUUUAAUGCACUUUAUGCAUUAUAAUCACCUUCGGACUUUCCGAAGCUUACGCACUCGACAACUAGUCGAUUCUAAUCGAAGUCUAAUCCUCGAGUUUCGAGAAUUCACUUCCUUACAGAUAAUCUUAGCAUUUAUAAUUUCCUUAUAGUAAUUCAAUUCACUCACAGCAAGAAACAAUUAUCCACCUUACCUAAAUUAAGGCUCUAAUAGAUUUUUCUUCAGCUUAUCAUCUCAGAAAUCUCCACCCCGUUUUUCCUUAAUUCGGCCACAAAUCACCAAUCCAAUCUCGGCGCCCAGGAAUUCUCGAGGCUGCAGCUACUUCACAAUUGGGUCUUCACUUUGGCAGUUCCAACAACUCGAAUCCAGCUUAAUCUGCCCAUCUCAGCAACAAACCUCUAGUUUGUAACUUAUCUUUAUGGCAAUUAGUUGGAUUCUAAUCAAACAUGAGCCCAGUUUACCUUAAUUAGAUGCUCUAGCCGCAAGAAAUUAAGCGCUCAAGUGCCAUCCCUUCAGCUCGGAUCAACAAGGAGUUCCAACAACUAGCAGUUUCAUACUCCUCUCUUUACUUCAGCUUCUACAGAAAUUUUUCCUCGAGUUCCAGCUCUUUCUCAGCUGGUCCUUAAGCUCAAACAAGCCUCACAACAUUAGCCCUCAAGCUGCCACUUCUACACCAUCAACUCACCUAGGUUUUUAGAAAGAUAAGGAAGGGAAUAAAGAUAAGGAUCAGGGAAAACAGUUAGGUCUAAUCACAUGGGCACACAUGCACCACCCAGCUAAAUAUAAGUGAUAAGAUUGGAAAUUUUCUGCUUGACCCUCUCUUUCAACAAAAUUGCACUUCAGUCCCUGCUGCAAUUUAGUGGCCUGGUACCUCACUGAGGUACACACCUGUACCUCACUGAGGUACACAACACAAUUCUGCACUUGCAGAAUUUCCUGGCAGCAGCAUCAAAAUCAACCCCUUUUUCUCUUCCACCUUGCUUGGAAUAUUACUAAUCACUUCCAAUUUAUACUAAUACGCCUCUAUAAGUUGCCAAUUUAAUUUGGAAGCAAUUAAUUCUCAAUUUUUGCAUUAUUGUGAUCAAUUUGAUCCCAAUUAGCCCGUAGUCAAAAUUUUCGACAUAUUACAAUCUCCCCUCCUUAAAUAGUUUCGUCCUCGAAACUAAAUUUGUACCUUAGUUCUCCUGAUCAAAUAGAUGAGGAUAAGACUUGCGCAUAGCUUCUUCCAAUUCCCACGUGGCCUCUCACCUCAAGUGAUUGCUCCAUUGCACUUUCACAUAAGGAAUAGUGCGAUUUCGCAAUUCUUGCAUAUCUCGAUCUAGAAUGCAUACCGGAUAUUCUUCAUAGGUCAUAUUUUCCUGCAAGUCCACUGGUUCGUACUCCAGAACAUGUCCGGGAUGAUGUACAUAUUUGCGAAGGUUUGAAACAUGAAAUACAUUGUGUAUUCCCUCGAAUUUCGGCGGCGAAGCCAAUCUAUAAGCUACCGCUCCAACACGCUCCAAAAUCUCGUAGGGUCCAAUGUAUCGAGGACUAAGCUUUCCUCGAACACCAAAUCUCUUUAUCCCGCGCAUCGGCGACACCUUCAAGAAUACCCGAUCGCCAACCGCAAAUUCCAAAUUCUUUCGGCGCUUAUUUGUGUAACUUUGUUGCCGUGACUGUGCCGUCAACAAUCUUUGGUGGACUAGGCGUACCUUUUCUUCCGCUUCUUGGAGGAGCACAUCAGGACCAAGCACAAUCCGUUCUCCUACCUCACUCCAAUGAAUAGGGGAUCGACAUUUCCUCCCGUAGAGGGCUUCAAACGGUGCCAUAGCGAUACUUUCCUGAUAACUAUUAUUAUAGGCGAACUCGACCAUCGCUAAGAAAUCAUGCCAACCACCCCUAAAGUCAAGUACACACGCUCGUAGCAUAUCCUCCAAAAUCUGAAUCGUCCUCUCAGACUAUCCAUCAGUCUGAGGAUGGAAUGCUGUGCUAAAAUCGAGCCGUGUGCCAAGAGCAUCCUGCAAACUCCUCCAAAAGUGAGAUGUAAAUCGCGGGUCUCGAUCAGAUACAAUCGACGUCGGGACUCCGUGUAAUCUCACAAUCUCGUCGAGGUACACCUGUGCUAACUUGUCCUCCGACCAAGUAGUAUGAAUCGGUAAGAAAUGUGCCAAUUUUGUCAGUCGAUCAACAAUCACCCAUAUAGUAUCAUGUCCAGCCUGUGAGCGAGGUAAUCCAACUAUAAAAUCCAUUGCAAUGUUCUCCCACUUCCAGACAGGAAUAGGUAAGCUCUGCAACUUUUCCGCUGGGAAUCGACGUUCGGCUUUAACUUGCUGACAGGUCAAACACUGCGCCACAAACUGUCCAAUAUCUUUCUUCAUCCCAGGCCACCAAUAAUGCACGUUGAGAUCCUUGUACAUCUUAGUGCCACCUGGAUGGAUACUAUAAGGUGACUGAUGAGCCUCCUGUAGUAUAGCCCUCUGAACUUCCUCGUCUUUGGGCACGCACAAACGGUUUCGAAACCGAAGUGCUCCGUCUGACCCUACUACAAAAUCAUCACCACGCCCGCUCUCAAUCUCACACCGCACCUUUUGGAAAUACGGAUCUAAAGAUUGUCGGUCUUUAAUCUGUUCCAACAAGGUCGGUUGAACAACUAGAGCGGCAAGAAUAGCUGGCACCUCUGGAGCUACUACCUCAAAAUCAAACCGCCGCAUUUCAUUCUGCAAUGACGAUUGAAGUGUGAUCGCCGUAGCCAAGUUCUCAACUCACUUCCUACUCAAUGCAUCCGCUACGACAUUAGCUUUCCCAGGGUGGUAUAGAAUUGUAACAUCAUAAUCCUUUAACAAUUCUAACCACCGGCGUUGUCGCAUAUUCAACUCUUUUUGGGUAAAUAAAUACUUCAGGCCCUUAUGAUCUGUAUAUAUCUCGCAGUGCUCGCCAUAAAGAUAGUGUCUCCACAACUUCAAUGCGAAGAUCACCGCCGCUAAUUCCAAAUCAUGGAUAGGAUAAUUCUUUUCAUAAUUCUUCAACUGGCGAGAUGCAUAAGCGAUAACUCGACCACCCUACAAAAGUACACACCCAAGUCCACUGUAGGAAGCGUCACUAUAAACCACAAAACUCUUUUCCGUAAUCGGCAAGGCGAGAAUAGGAGUCGAAAUCAACCUUUCUUUCAACUCCCGAAAGCUACAAUCACAUUCUUCGCUCCAAACAUACUUAGUUCCUUUGUGUGUAAGGCGCGUUAGUGGAGUAGUAAUCUUCGCGAAUCCCUCCAUGAACCGCCGAUAAUACCCCGCAAGUCCAAGAAAACUGCGGAUCUCCGCAACAGUCGUCGGGCGAGGCCAAUCUUUAAUUGCCUCCACUUUCUUCGGGUCAACAGAUACACCACCCUCAGAAAUUACGUGCCCCAAAAACGCUACCUCUCUCAGCCAGAAAUCACAUUUCUUUAGUUUGGCAUACAACUGUUUCUCCGGCAGAAUUUGCAUCACUGUUCUUAAGUGCUCCUCAUGUUCCUCAUUGCUUCAAGAAAAGAUCAAGAUGUCGUCUGUAAGUACUACGACACACUGAUCUAACAGCGGCUUAAAGAUCCUAUUCAUUAGAUCCAUGAAUGCGGCAGGGGCAUUGGUAAGCCCAAACGGGAUCACUGUGAACUCAUAGUGACCAUAACGAGUACGAAACGCUAUCUUAUGCACAUCCUCUGGUUUGAUCUUCAAUUGGUGGUAACCUGAUUGGAAACUGAUCAAAUAAGUCAUCAAUUCGUGGCAACGGAUAUUUGUUCUUAAUUGUGAUCUUAUUCAGCUCGCGAUAAUCAACGCAAAGCCGAAGCGUUCCGUCUUUCUCCUUUACAAAUAACACUGGAGCUCCCCACGGUGACACACUAGGCUUCACAAAGCCUUUAUCCAUCAAAUCCUGCAACUGAGCUUUUAACUCCUUCAACUCAGCAGGUGCCAUUCGGUAUGGAGCCUUCGAAAUUGGCGCCGUCCCGAGAACUAAGUAAUAACGAACUAAAUCUCCCGGUCUGGUGGCAAUCCCGGUAACUCCGCAGGAAAUACGUCAGGAAUCUCUCGAACUACUGGAAUAUCUCCAAGUACUGGAAGUUCCUUCUGAGCCUCCACCACUGUUGCCAAAUAGGCUACACAUCCUCUACUAAUCAACUUUCUCGCACUCGACGUCGAUACUGUCAACGCAAAGAGCGAACUCUUACACGCCCAAUACACAACUUCUUUUUGCCCGGGUUCACGAAAAGUAAUUACUUUACUUUCGCAAUCAAUCGUGGCAUAGUACUUUGUAAGCCAAUCCAUUCCGAGGAUCACAUCAAAGGCUUUCAUACGGCUUGGUACUAGCAAAUCUGCAGGCAUAAUCCAAUCACCAACCUGUACUGGACACGCCGCACACACCUCGUGGACACUAAAUGUGUGCUCAGGGGCAUACACCCACCAGGCAUCCGCACUAUCCGAAAUCUCAAUAUCAUGCGUCUUAGCAAAUGAGCUACUGAUGAAUGAAUGCGAUGCGCCUGUAUCAAAUAAUGCACGAGAUCUAGUGCCAUAAAUUAAAACAAUACCUGCCACGACAUCAUCAACCACGGUCGGCUCCUCUGCCUGGGCUGCAAAUACACGACCACUCGGUGCAGGUCGAGGUGUCUCGGACUGACGCGGCGGAAAAGAACGUCCAGCUGACAUGGCGAGUGGGAGACCCGCACGCUGCCUCGAAGGUGACUGAAUAGAAGCUGUAGACUGGGCAGAUGAUGCUCCUCUGGGGCACUCGCGGAUCAUGUCCCAGCUGACCACACUUAAAAUACUUUCCCUCACGCUGUGGACAAACAGUCGGUCGAUGACUUCCGCCACAAAUCACACAUCUCGGGGGUCCCUGAUAUCUCGACUGAGCUCGUGGAUACCGAGGGGGCCGUUUGGAGCUCGACUGUCCCCCGGCACCACUAGUAGUCCUCUUCUUUCCUUUCUCUCAUUCUUUUUUCCUUUCAAAUGUUUUGCGUUCAUCCCGUGCAAUUGCGUUUCCACGCUCCACCCAUAGAGCUCGGUCCAGAACCUCUUCAAAAGUCUUCAGUUUAAAAGCAUGUAUUACUCUAAAUAUUUCAGGGCUCAACCCCCGCUCAAAGCACUCUGCUCGAUCUCGGUCACUAUGAACCAUGCCUGGUACGCAGUUCACCAAAUGAGUAAACUCCCGUUCGUACUCUCACACCGAACGGUUCCCCUAUCUUAGUUUGCGGAAAUCUUCUUUUAUUUUUCUUUUAUCACUAUCAGGGGAGUACUUCAUAAACAAUAGCUCUCGGAACUCAUCCCAGGUAAUCGGUGGCAGGUUUGGAGCUCGAUUUUUCUUAGCCUUUUGCCACCAAAUCUGUGCAUCCUUCUCAAAACAAUGUGCCGCCAAAUAAACCUUGUCCUUUUUCAGGGUAUAGAUAUCCUCAAACAGUGCUUCCAUUGAUGUAAGCCAUGUCUCCACUACCCACGGAUCUGCUUCUUUUCCAUCAAACAUAGGCGGAUUAAACCGCAUAAACGCCGUCAAUACUGCCAGUGAUCACUCAUGUUCGGCCUCUACUGCGGCCGCAUCUGCAAUAGAAAGCCCAGAAACCACAGGAGGAACAGUCGCUGGAGCAGGGGGGACUGUCGCCGGCGCCACAGGUGUAGGUACAUCCUGACUCCCAGGUGUUGCUGUUGUCGCCUGUCGCGACACUAAAUCCUGCAGCCUCUUCAUAUGCUCCUCCUGUCUCCGCAUAGCCCCAACCAACGCACUCACCUGAGCACGUAACUCCCAAACCUCGCUAGAUCCAGACUGCUCUGGCACCUCAGAAGGUGAUGCCGGAGUGGAUCUCGUCGCACGUCGCGGUGGCAUUUCUCCUGAAACACAACAUUCACGUUAAUAAAACAAAACCAAUCAGGAGAAAGCAAUCAAGCGUACUUAUACUAAACCUUUGGCUUUAUGUUGUUAGCCACCAACAUAAAUCCUUAAGUUGUGUACAAAUAUCACUUGGAUCAGCCCCUAAUUAACAUUAGAGACUUACUAACAACUAGCCCAAUUUAUUUGGCUUUCGCUAUCAUUAGAUUCACGCCACUCACGUUCCUAGUCCUUAUGUUUCCAUUCCUAACUCCCCUAGGUCAUCCUAAACUUUCAUUUAUCACUUGCUCUGAUACCACUUUAUCUGUCAUGCCCCGCUAUCACCAAUUUGGUCGAUCCGGUCCGUACACAGACGCCGAACGGACAGAACCUCCUCUGUCCGCCCAAGGCUCAACAACAAUAAGUACAUGUAUAAAGAAAUAAAUAAUUCCCAGGAUGACAUUUCAAUAUACAUAGCUUGCACGAGGGCAAGCAGCAAGAAUAAGUGAAACUGAGCUUAAUUAAUCAUGCAUUCACUAUAAUUUUAAAACUUUAAAACUAAACUAUGAAAACCGAACAACUGAAACAUUUCGUUAUUUACAUCAUUUACAGAUUCAUUUAUACAAAUAUUUAUAUGUCUUUCUAUUCAUCAUUAUAUUCAACAUGAACCAAAAUGGGUAUACCACUAUGCACUGGUGUCCACUAGCUAAGAUGCUGGGCUCUUGCCGCAAUCCUCGGCCACACCGCUCGCGCUAGGACCUGUAUGGUUAGUGGUGUGAGAACUACUAAAAGUUCCCAGUGGGUUCGGCCGCCGACCUCGCCGACUCACCCACUAGGUCUAUUCAGGCAUAUGUAGACAAGAAAAGAGAAUAGAUAGUAACCAACGAUAACAUGUAACUACUACAAUGCCUGUACAAAGCUGAAAGAAACUGUAGAUAAUAACUAAAAUUGAUGCAUGCAUGUUGUUCAUAAUUAUUAUCCAAUUAAACUGGUUAACCCUUUGGUUAACAAUAACUCACCGACGAAAUUCCAAGUAUCGGGGAGACGCAAGCUACAUCCCGAUAGGACUGUCUACUGGGGGAGGCGCUAGCUCCUGAUCCAGUUGAGAUGACUACUCCGGAGCUCAUCGUUCAAGGAGGAGCGACCUUCCUUGAACAUAAAACUAAUGUGAGUAUGAUCUGAUCCUCCUUUAGAAGAUCCAUUGAAAGACAAUGCCACACUUUAACUCUAACUAGCUCUUUAUGCUAGUUUUAUAAUUUCAAUGUCGACGCUAAUCAAUGUUUCUAGUCAUAAUGUCACCAGGUUUACUAUGUCAUAGUCCACAGUAAAAUUCACACAUUCAUAGGGUUCUAUGUCCACACUUUAUGGUUCACAUGUUCUUAACAAUGAGAUAUGCUCAAUUAUUCAUUUCAUAAACACUUAAUACCAUUAACCCUAUAAUGUAUGAAUAUUAAUUUAUUCAUAUACAGAUAUGCUCAUGAGGUAACAUAGACAUAAAGAGUGAUUCAAUGAUUUCGGAUAGCACCCCCCACCUGUAGAGAUGCCACAAACUGGAAUCAACGUCUCGAACUGUAUCA
rnacentral:lncRNA from 1 species